CAACUGUCAUCUAGUCCAACCCCCUGCAAUAGAGGAAUCCACCAGUCAUUUGAGAGGCAUGUCUCAGGUAAUUAUAGUCUGGAUUUGUCACCUAUCCCUACUUUAAUUCAGAAGCAGAUUUAUUUGUGUAUAUACGAUUUGAGCAUAUGCAUGUGAAAAUCAGCAUGCAAAUUUAAAUAAUAAUGCUAAAUAAAUAAACUUAAUGGUUCUUUUACUCUCGCCUACAGCAACCUGGUGCCUUCCAGAUGUUUUGGACCACAACUCCUUUUAGCCCUAGCUAGCAUGGCCAACUGUUAGGUAUUAGCAGUAGCUCAGUGGUAGAGCAUCUUCUCUGCUCCUGGUUCAAUUCUCAGCAUCUCCAGGAAGGGCCGCCUGAAAUCCUGGAGAGCUGUUCCCAGUCAACGUAGGCAACACUGAAUUAGACAGACCAAUGGUCUGAGUCUGUAUAAGGCAGCUUCUGACAUUGCUUAUGUUGGGAGUCCUAGUCCACAGUAUCUGGUGUGCAGCAGCUUGGGGAAACCUGCCUUACUCCUUCUGAAGAAUAUGCUACAACAACAGCUUUCUUUGAACCCCAUGAAGAUAACCUUCCUCUCCUCACUGGUCCAUUGCCAGGGAUGUGUUUGCACGUCACUCACCAUUAUUACCAGUGGUGUACUGUACCGUCAUACAGAAGCCAUCUGAUUCUGUAGAUAAACAGCAUUAUUUGUUUUGUGCUUAUUAUUUGAUCACUUACUGCUAUGGCCCCUUUCUUUUCAUGCUUUCAAGGUUUGAAAUGUAUUAUAUAUAUAUCAGAGGUAGGCGAGGAAUCAAUAAAACAUUCAAAUGCAAACAUCUUAAAUUACAAAAAGAGAACUUCAAACAGAGAGGUGAGGAUGUUGUGAGAAGCGUUUGUUACAAUACACUUUAAAAAUGUCUGUUGGGUUCCUUGAGAACUAUGGAUUGCUUGGAGAUAUGCAUCCAGUCUCUUUCUUCUGCUUCUGGCACUUGGAAUAAGUUUGAGGGCACAUUGUGCUUUGUUCAAGUAACUGGGAAACAUAGUUAUAUUGUUGGAAAACUAAGUGGGG